rnacentral:rRNA from 1 species
GAUGAACGCUGGCGGCGUGCCUAAUACAUGCAAGUCGAGCGAACAGAUGAGGAGCUUGCUCCUCUGACGUUAGCGGCGGACGGGUGAGUAACACGUGGAUAACCUACCUAUAAGACUGGGAUAACUUCGGGAAACCGGAGCUAAUACCGGAUAAUAUAUUGAACCGCAUGGUUCAAUAGUGAAAGACGGUUUUGCUGUCACUUAUAGAUGGAUCCGCGCCGCAUUAGCUAGUUGGUAAGGUAACGGCUUACCAAGGCAACGAUGCGUAGCCGACCUGAGAGGGUGAUCGGCCACACUGGAACUGAGACACGGUCCAGACUCCUACGGGAGGCAGCAGUAGGGAAUCUUCCGCAAUGGGCGAAAGCCUGACGGAGCAACGCCGCGUGAGUGAUGAAGGUCUUCGGAUCGUAAAACUCUGUUAUUAGGGAAGAACAAAUGUGUAAGUAACUAUACACGUCUUGACGGUACCUAAUCAGAAAGCCACGGCUAACUACGUG